UACGUAGGGACCAAGCGUUGUUCGGAUUUACUGGGCGUAAAGGGCGCGUAGGCGGAUAUGUAAGUCCGCGGUGAAAUCUCUGGGCUUAACCCGGAAACUGCCAUGGAUACUAUGUGUCUUGAAUGCUGUUGAGGUGAGCGGAAUAUGUCAUGUAGCGGUGAAAUGCUUAGAUAUGACAUAGAACACCAAUUGCGAAGGCAGCUCACUAAGCAGAUAUUGACGCUGAGGCACGAAAGCGUGGGGAGCGAACAGG
rnacentral:rRNA from 1 species